rnacentral:rRNA from 1 species
GACGAACGCUGGCGGCGUGCCUAAUACAUGCAAGUCGAACGCUUCUUUCCUCCCGAUUGCUUGCACUCAAUUGGAAAGAGGAGUGGCGGACGGUUGAGUAACACGUGGGUAACCUACCCAUCAGAGGGGGAUAACACUUGGAAACAGGUGCUAAUACCGCAUAACAGUUUAUGCCGCAUGGCAUAAGAGUGAAAGGCGCUUUCGGGUGUCGCUGAUGGAUGGACCCGCGGUGCAUUAGCUAGUUGGUGAGGUAACGGCUCACCAAGGCCACGAUGCAUAGCCGACCUGAGAGGGUGAUCGGCCACACUGGGACUGAGACACGGCCCAGACUCCUACGGGAGGCAGCAGUAGGGAAUCUUCGGCAAUGGACGAAAGUCUGACCGAGCAACGCCGCGUGAGUGAAGAAGGUCUUCGGAUCGUAAAACUCUGUUGUUAGAGAAGAACAAGGACGUUAGUAACUGAACGUCCCCUGACGGUAUCUAACCAGAAAGCCACGGCUAACUACGUG